AAAGAGACCGCGUGGAAGCUUCUCGUUCUUUUUCGCGCUUCGUCACAUUUCUGCUUUGUGUUGUUGGAGGGAGGUUUUCUGCCAUUGCUGCCAUGUGGGAUCUAACUUCAAAAAGACAUCGAAAGAACCAGUGUGUAGAGUUGCGGGAGAAACAUCCAAAGGGAGCCAGAAGCUGCCCUCCAAGAUGAGCAGUUGUGAUUGAAAUGCCAACCCAUGACUGGAAAGAUAUUUCUCACCUACCCAGUCUUCAAAGAUGGAAGUCCCUCCAGAUUUUGUUGAAGAGGCUUAUUAGAUACACUAAUUGUACUGCUGUGAACAUGGUUAAAAUCACAGACCAGAUUUGCAUUAUUAAAGUUGAGAACUGAAAGAAGAUUUUAGAGGAAUACACUAAUGCAUGGAGGUAGGCUUGGACAAACACUACAAUGCCCUCAAGACUACUGAAAGUGUCCACACUUUUCCCUUGAGAUGUCUGAUGACCCAUAUAUUGAGGCAAAGACAUUCUUUCCUGCAUUAUUGUGGCAGUAAACUUACAAGCUUAGCUUCUCUUCCCUUUGUUGUACACAGUCACUAAAUGGGUCCAGUUUCAGAGCCGGCUAUUUGCGAGACCGCCUACUACUUCAUAGUUCCCUUCGUCCGGUUAGAGAUCCCACAGGCUGGGCCUCCUUUAGGUCCCGUCUUGGCCAAGCAGUGCCAUUUGGCGGGGCCGCGGAGGAGGGUU